rnacentral:rRNA from 1 species
UAGUCCACGCCCUAAACGAUGUUUACUCGGUAUUGGCGAUAUACUGUCAGUGCCCAAGCGAAAGCGUUAAGUAAACCACCUGGGGAGAACGGUCGCAAGAUUGAAACUCAAAGGAAUUGACGGGGGCCCGCACAAGCGGUGGAGCAUGUGGUUUAAUUCGAUGAUACGCGAGGAACCUUACCAGGGCUUAAAUGUAAGUUGCAUAGAGUAGAGAUAUCCUUUUCUUCGGACUACUUACAAGGUGCUGCAUGGUUGUCGUCAGCUCGUGCCGUGAGGUGUCAGGUUAAGUCCUAUAACGAGCGCAACCCCUACCGUUAGUUGCCAGCAUGUAAAGAUGGGGACUCUAGCGGGACUGCCAGUGCAAACUGUGAGGAAGGUGGGGAUGACGUCAAAUCAUCACGGCCCUUACGUCCUGGGCUACACACGUGCUACAAUGGUAUAGACAGAGAGCAGCCACUACGCGAGUAGGAGCGAAUCUACAAACUAUAUCUCAGUUCGGAUCGG